CUCCAACCCUGGCUCCUCACUCUUUUUUUUUUCCUAUUCAAAAAAUGUUCCCCUUCAGUCUUACUCGUGGAGCAAAAGAUAAAGAAUGAGUGGUAGAUGUCCAGAAAAAGAAAGGUGGCAGGCAUUCAAGCAGCGUGUGUCCCCAAAUAAGCUCUAAUUGAUCCUUUAUCAAUGUUCUGCUCUUGUUCAUGUGAGUGCAAUAGCCACCUCCGGCCGUCACACUGAUGGACAAGGGCAGGGGCUGGAGUCAAUGCUUGUGCCCCAAAGGGAAACAAAUCACCGUCCACCAGGAGCAGGAACUUUCUAACCAUCCCUGGAGCCAAACCAGUAGAGCAGAGAGAACAGUAGGAACCGCCUCCAGCAAUGUCCAGGAAGAGGCCACGUCCGCGGUGAAACCCAAGCUGAACCGCCAGCACGUUCAGGCUCAACGCUGAACCCCCAGAGUUUCUGACUGAAGGGUUUCGGGGAGCCUGGGAACCUGCAUUUCUAACAAGUUCCUGGGGACGUGAAUGACACCACCAUAAUAAUAAUGCCGCCCAAGGACCACACCUCAGAACCACUCUAGAGAGCAAUUAAAACCACCCCUCAUCGUGAGUGAGGAGCCAUAGUAUGCCCUCCUGAGUAGCUAUCAUGACCAUCUGGCCACGGCCCCUACAGGAAUGAAGUCCCCUUCUUUCCAGGUGACAGCCUACUUGCAGAGCAGAAGCAGAGCUGCCGUCCAGCACUCAUCGGUGCACACACUCAUGUCAGGAAACAGUGCUGGGUGUCUUUUCCCAGGUUCAUUUCAUCAGCAUGCCACUAUGACUUCAAUUAAACUGAUUUUGAAGAAACCAGCAUCUCCUUGUGUCAGCAAAUGCCACGAUCAGAUCGUUACCUCUCCCCUAGGAAGGACGACCACAGUCGAUACUGGCCACCAGAGGGAAUCACUAACCAAGUGGGGAUUUCUAAAACUAAACAAAGUGCCAUGUUAGGAUGCCACACACGCCAGCUGUCCUCUGAAGGGAGCAUCCGAUGAAGUCCUCUUCCCCCAUGAAGUGCUCCUCCCCCGACAUCCCCGACACCUGCAGCUCUGGGAGCCUAAGGGCCCCUCUGCUGGCUGCACAGGAAACCUCCACACACAGGUGGGGCAGUCACAGCCUCCAAAUGUCCUUGCCCACUGAGGCUCUGGGCCCUCCUUACCAGAGAAGUGAGUUGGUGCUUCACCCACCCCAGGGCACUCCCCCGUCAACAGCACAGGAACCCCCCAUGGACCCACAGAGCCACCUGACUCACAUCUCCUUCUUCAAUAACGAGAGCAUUUGGGUGGGUAUAGCCUCAAGGACAAAGAAAACAGAAAUAGAGGGCAAACCCUGGCUCUAUAAGAAAAAAUCACCAAGCAAAUAGAGGUACUCUGCCCCACAGUUUCUUGGUGAGGCCAAUACUCCGGAAGCCCCUCUUCCACAGAACCCUCCCUUUCCCCUGGGUUCUGGCAGCGAGGGAAACCUCUCCAAGACACUGUCUCUGUGGAGAUGCCCAAGAGACUGGCUCCUUCCACUGUCAAAGGAAGUCCAGGCAGAACAGGGGGAAUGCAGCAUUCACUCAGCCGAAGCUACUUGAGUACCGACCUUUUGUCAGACAUGCAGACAGACACCCUUGACGCGCAGAGGCACCAACGUCCCGCUCUGGCUUCAAGAAGGCGCAGGUGUGCAUGGGCACGUUUGGCCCCUGAGGUGUACUUCGGGAGAUGGAGGAGUCUGGGUAUGUUCAAAAGACCAGGCAGCCAGAGAGGAGGCCUCCACACAGCCCCCCCACUGACGCCACACAGCAGGAGCAGCCACUGCACUUUCUCCCUCAGACGGUGGGGAACAGCACCCCUCCACGUGUGUACAGAGGAGCACCAAUGCCCGGGACCUGAGUGUGACUGCGAUUGGAGAUGGAACCUUUGAAGAGGUAACUAAGGUAAAAUAAAUCCCCUGGGAAUCACGCAAUAGUGACUGUCGUUCUCAUAAGAAAAGAUUAGGACACACAACCCAGUCCAAGGGGUGCCACGUGGGGAAAGUGAAAAGGCAGACAUCUGCAAGUCGAGGAGAGAAGCCGUGCAGCCCCUGAUUCUUAGAUGAUGAGAAAACAAAUUCUCACUGGCCCCCGUCCGUGGUAUUUUGUUCUGGGAGUCCCAGCAAAU
rnacentral:lncRNA from 1 species